CCCAAGAGAUCUUGAAGCAGGGCAGCCCUUCGGGGCAUGUGUGCUGCUCUUCAAGGAGGAGAGGUGGUCUGCAGGGAGAAGAGAGCAAAAGUCCAAGGGGCCAAGGGAGGGAGAUCAGGUUUUCCUUGGUUCUUGCCAGGUUUUCUGCUUCUGAUCCCUCAUGAAGCUUUGGACAUAAGGUCCCUCUCUAUUCCUUUACCUUGAGAAAGCUCCAUUGGGCAUACCAUGCUUAUUGCAUCCAAAAUUUUUCACAUGAAAGUGGAAAACUCAGAUAGCAAUUUGGUGUGUUGGUGGAAGGACCCAAUAAAAAGCAUGUCAGGAUAAGUGCUUUGGAGGAAAAGCAAGACUUCAUCCAAUCAUCAGUAGAAAGCCUUGGUGGCUGCAGUUUCUGUGACUUACAAAAAGGAUACACAGGAGAAGAGGAGAAAGAUGAACUAGAUCCUUCUGAUUGGCCAAAAAUCACAAGUUAUAAUAGAGUUCAAAAGGAAAUGGAUUGUUUGGACCAUGAAGUGGCUUCCCUCUAUUCAGAACUGUUUCAAGCUAAAUUUACCCUCAAAUAGCUUGAAAAAGCAAACGUCAAGCUCAGUCAAAGCUGUCAGCUAGCAGAACAGGUAUUAACACUAUACAGCUCACAUGGUGAAGAAGUGAGGUCUCCCGCCAUCAGCAUGUGAGAGAGCCACCUUGGAAGCAGCCCUUCCAGCCUUCGGCUGAAGGUGACCCCACCUGAAGGCUGACACACUCACUGCUACCUCGAGAGAUCCUGGGCCACCCAGAGACCCUGUUCUCAAAUUCUUCACCUGUGAGAAAAUAAAUGUUUGUUAUUGUAAGCCACUAAAAAAAUAAAAUAAAAUAAACUACUAUAUGUUGUUGGAGUUUAAUCACUGUCACAAAGUAUACAGGACUUCUAGCAAGGGCUGCAAGGAUGGUAGAAACACUAUUACUAUCUUGCACUGGGAAAAAAUAGAAAACUAUUAAGACAGCUUUAUUCCAUAGGCCUGGCUGCCUUCUUGGAUGAUUUAAUUAAGUGAUUAUUUGUUAAACACCUAGAAUUUUUAAAGUAUCCACUGUAGUGGAUAAAGAAAAAACUUGACAGCAAGCUAUAUGUUUGUCAGAAACUGCCUUUUUAUAUACCUGCCUUCGUACUUCUCUCUGUUUGCCG